ACCAUCAGGACCUGCGGGACCAGAUUCUUGGUGCCACCAUUGAGAACUCCAGGAUUGUCCUGCAGAUCGACAAU
rfam:Callithrix jacchus chromosome 5, whole genome shotgun sequence